rnacentral:lncRNA from 1 species
GAAAGCUGAGAAGACACGAAGUUACAUCCAGAGUAAACAAUCUGAAUGAAUUACCUGACUUUGAUUCAGCAGAGAAAUUUGGAUUGCUCAACUUGUUCUGGAUUCUCCUGAAUCAAGACUGAAAUUUGUUGUGCCCCUUGGAGACCGUGUCUUUCUACCCAGCGGGAUAUAGCUGGCUCCUCUUCUCACCUGCUUUGUCCUGUUGCCACUAUAUUUCCAUGCCUCACUGCAAAAUUCUGAGAAGGCACAGAUUUGGUUGAAUCUGCUGACAUGGAACUUGCAGAUACGGAGGCCUGGCUGCAUGUAGAUCCUGGCUUUUGCAGACUUACUAUACCUGGAUCUACGCCAGGGAUUCUCAUUGUUGAUUCCUGCCUUACCUGGAAUCAGUCUUCCUGCAGCCCCUCACCUGAUAACAGAUGAGAAAACUGAGAAUCAAGGAGACACACAGCUGGAUAAUGGCAGAGCAUGAAUGUAACAGAACAUGGAGUCUCGGAGUUGUGACGUCCAUUGCCAGCAAAGGUUCAGACAAAGGAGCAGGAGGACACACCGUAUGGUCUCAGGCUGCCAACUUAAUCCAAUCGCUAAGUGGGAACCACUGAAUCCUCCUUUAUAAACACCUUGCAUAUUCCCUGUUGCAACUAAGAGAUGACACUAAAGGUACAUGCAAGGUGAGGAAUCUGCUGUCACUUGAAUGGUUUUCUGCUGGAGAUGGAGUCUCACUGUGUUGCCCAGGCUGGAGUGCAGUGG